GUUCCUGAUCCGAGGUGGGGCUUUGUUCUCCCCCCAUGCAUUUGUUUUGCUUGAUCUUCUCAUCGAGAGGACAAGGAAGAAAGGACAGCAGAGAGAACUCUGUAGACGCUGGAUGGUUUACCUCCAGACUCUUUAGAUUUCCUUCGGUGGGUAAAUGUGGACAGUCACAGCAAGUGAAAUCAAUUCUUAUUUACAUUAGCGGAAAGUGGGACAGAACUCUCUACGGGGGACAUGUCUUGCUUCAUCACUGGGGUGCUUAUCUCUCCGGAUACUCCACAUGCCUUCAGCAUUUCAUAACAUGAAAAAUCUUUUCCAAAGAGCUGCUCUACACCACAGAGAUCAGCGCUGACUGCAAACUCCGCUGCUGAGACAUUUGUAAGCCGUACUGUAUUUGCCAGAGCAAAACCAGAGCAGAACAGAUUAAUACAGUACUUACGCUUCUGUUCCUUUUGGAUCUGUGUUGCAAAUCUAGUUUGUUUGUGUUUGGUGGGGGUUUUUUUAGAGUUUUUCUUUUAGCUAUUCUAAUAGAAAUUAAAGCUCGAGCUAUGCCAACAA